rnacentral:rRNA from 1 species
ACGUGCUACAAUGGGUGCUACAAUGGGUUGCCAAGCCGCAAGGUGGAGCCAAUCCCAUAAAGGCAUCCCCAGUUCGGAUUGGAGUCUGAAACUCGACUCCAUGAAGUUGGAAUCGCUAGUAAAGGCGGAUCAUAACGCCGCCUUGAAUACGUUCUCGGGUCUUGUACUCACCGCCCGUCACGUCAAGAGAGUUGGGGGUGCCCGAAGGUCGUUGUAGAACGGCCGAAGGCAAAUCCAGCAAUAGGGACGAAGUCGUAACAAGGCAUCCGUAGCGGAAGCUGUGGAUGGAUCACCUCCUUU